rnacentral:rRNA from 1 species
GACGUAGGGCGCGAGCGUUGUCCGGAUUUAUUGGGCGUAAAGAGCUCGUAGGCGGUUUGUCGCGUCGUCCGUGAAAACUCACAGCUUAACUGUGAGCUUGCGGUCGAUACGGGCAGGCUAGAGUUCGGUAGGGGGAGACUGGAAUUCCUGGUGUAGCGGUGAAAUGCGCAGAUAUCAGGAGGAACACCGGUGGCGAAGGCGGGGUCUCUGGGGCCGAUACUGACGUGAGGAGCGAAAAGCGUGGGGGAGCGAACAGG